AUGCUCUGGUUUCUCUUCAGAACGAACAAAUCUUUCGCCUUUUACUAAAGAUUUCCGUGGAGAGGAGCAAAACCGAGUUUUUAUCUCAAUUUUUGCAUGCCUCAUCUUUUUGGGGUU